rnacentral:rRNA from 1 species
GACAGAGGGUGCAAACGUUGCUCGGAAUUACUGGGCGUAAAGCGCGUGUAGGCUGACCGGAAAGUCGGGCGUGAAAUCCCUGAGCUCAACCCAGGAACUGCACUCGAAACUACUUGUCUUGAGUACCGGAGAGGAAAGCGGAAUUCCUGGUGUAGAGGUGAAAUUCGUAGAUAUCAGGAGGAACACCAGUGGCGAAGGCGGCUUUCUGGACGGUAACUGACGCUGAGACGCGAAAGCGUGGGGAGCAAACAGG